CCACAACACAGAUACAGUGCAGGAAGCAAGUGCAAGCUUCUCCACACUGCCCCUCCAGUGUGCCUCAGGCCACACUUGGAGAGACCACUCAAGUG
rnacentral:sRNA from 1 species